AGUGAACGCUGGCGGUAGGCCCAACACAUGCAAGUCGAACGGCAGCACAGUAAGAGCUUGCUCUUACGGGUGGCGAGUGGCGGACGAGUGAGGAAUACAUCGGAAUCUACUUUUUCGUGGGGGAUAACGUAGGGAAACUUACGCUAAUACCGCAUACGACCUACGGGUGAAAGCAGGGGAUCUUCGGACCUUGCGCGAUUGAAUGAGCCGAUGUCGGAUUAGCUAGUUGGCGGGGUAAAGGCCCACCAAGGCGACGAUCCGUAGCUGGUCUGAGAGGAUGAUCAGCCACACUGGAACUGAGACACGGUCCAGACUCCUACGGGAGGCAGCAGUGGGGAAUAUUGGACAAUGGGCGAAAGCCUGAUCCAGCCAUACCGCGUGGGUGAAGAAGGCCUUCGGGUUGUAAAGCCCUUUUGUUGGGAAAGAAAAGCAGCAGGUUAAUACCCCGCUGUUCUGACGGUACCCAAAGAAUAAGCACCGGCUAACUUCGUG
rnacentral:rRNA from 1 species